GAUGUUCCUUUCUUUUAUGGUGUAAUUUUGUGUUUUCGUUGCAUUUCUUCGCGAAAUUUUUGUUUUUUAAGGAAUUUUCAUUGUUAACUGAUCAUGAUCAUUAUCGUUAUUGUGGUUUUGUGAGUCUUCUAGGAGAGAUGAUUGUGUAAUUAAGAGCUGAAUGGAUUGUAGGUAAAAUAGAAGAAAGUCUUUGGAUUUGUUGAUUUUUCGGUUUUAAAUGGUAAAAUUUGUAUUUUUGAUUGGUGUGGAGGAAGCUUUUGCAGCUGAAAAUUUAAGUGGAUUUCUUCUUGUUUGCUUGGAAGGACAAGGAAAAUAGUAGUACCAAAUUGUCUUAUUUUUUGAAGAAGAUUUUGUGGUUCAUUGUAUUUUCUGAGCUGUUCUGCCUGCAAGUUUUUUCACAAAUUGCUACAGUUGUGGUAUGUUAACCAACAGAGGAACUAGCUAACCAAGAGGAAAAUGGAUAAACUUGUUGUUCAUGUUGAUAUUGG
rnacentral:misc_RNA from 1 species